UAUUUUAACCAUUUGCAUCAAGUUAAUCCUCUUACUUUUCCAUCAUCUUUGGAAGACUUGUUUGAUCAUGCAACUAAAAUAAAUAUGAUAUGUAAUUUACUUAAAAGAUCACAAGUGAGUUCACCAAUGUAUGCUUAGAGUUUCCUGUUAUUGCAUACCGUCUCUAUGGUUUCCCUGUUUACCUAUAAGUUUCCUUUCUUUCUUCAACUCUUCAUUUUCCUAAUAUUUCAAAAUUCAAUGCCACAGGCAACCCUACAAAAUCCAUUGUUUCCCAUCAUUAAGCACCCAGAUACACGACCCCAUCCAAAAAAAUCGUGUAUAAAGUAAUCCAGUCUAUGGCUCAUUCCAAGCCCGCCCUAUGACCACUAGGCUCCACCUGACCGGCAUCAUUUUUUAAUGUUCAACUACUUAAUACUACCAAGCAAUUCAGAUUGGAGUUGGGACUUCCCUUAUAAUGGUAACAUCUAACCAAGAGCCAAUUAUAUCAUGUUUACAAAAACAACUUUCACCAUCAAGAGGGCAAACUGUAGCUGGUUCAGGUUGUAACUACUACUAAUACCUAUGCUGCUUUAGCUGUUUCACGAACCACAGAAAGCUUAGCCAAAAGACCACAGAGCUGAAGAUAUGAACCAACUCCAUCACAGAUUCUCAUAU